UCUUAGUGGCGGACGGGUGAGUAACGCGUGGGUAACCUGCCCUGUACAGGGGGAUAACACUUAGAAAUAGGUGCUAAAACCGCAUAAGCGCACAGUACCGCAUGGUACAGUGUGAAAAACUCCGGUGGUACAGGAUGGACCCGCGUCUGAUUAGCUGGUUGGAGGGGUAACGGCCCACCAAGGCGACGAUCAGCAGCCGGCCUGAGAGGGUGAACGGCCACAUUGGGACUGAGACACGGCCCAAACUCCUACGGAAGGCAGCAG
rnacentral:rRNA from 1 species